rnacentral:rRNA from 1 species
AGAGCGAACGUUGGCGGCGCGCCUAACACAUGCAAGUCGAACGCGAAAAGCCUUCGGGCUGAGUAGAGUGGCGCACGGGUGAGUAACACGUGAGUAAUCUGCCCAUUGGACCGGGAUAACAUGCCGAAAGGCGUGCUAAUACCGGAUAAGACCACGAACCCUGCGGGGAUUGUGAGAAAAGACGGGGAUUCGCAAGAACCUGUCACCAUAGGAUGAGCUCGCGGCCUAUCAGCUAGUUGGCGGGGUAAUGGCCCACCAAGGCUAAGACGGGUAGCUGGUCUGAGAGGAUGAUCAGCCACACUGGAACUGAGACACGGUCCAGACUCCUACGGGAGGCAGCAGUGGGGAAUUUUGCGCAAUGGACGAAAGUCUGACGCAGCGACGCCGCGUGUGCGAUGAAGGCCUUUGGUCGUAAAGCACUGUCGACCGGGACGAAAACGUCAAUAGACUAAUACUUUAAUGAGUCUGACGUACUAGGUAAAGGAAGCACCGGCUAACUCUA